UUAUGCAACCCUGAUUUCAAUCCCUGGUACAAAAAAAAAAAAACUUUCUGAGGUUUGGGAACACAGGGUUAACAGGCUCCUACACCUACUCGAAGCAAUCCAAAGACAGAGCAUCCACAUUCUCUGCAGAGACUCCAGGCCCUGAGAUGCUCCAGCAACCCACAUUACAGAAUGCAGUUUCAAGCCCAGUCAGUUAUAUAACUAAAUAUUCUAAAGCCAGUGUUUUCCCAAUUGACAGCCCACUCAAUGUCAUAGGUCACGGCCAGCAUUUUCAAAAACUAAGAAGAGUAGAAAAUAUCAAAGGUGCAUUGCACAUAACAAAGUCCCCAAAGAUACCACAUCGACUCUGCAUACCCAGUCUGGAUUUGACCUGCCUUCAAGAGGUGAUUUCAAGAUAUGUAUUUCUUUUUUUGAUGGGAACAGCCUGGAUAAGAUAAUUAUCAUUCAUAAGAAUCACAGACAUUUCACAGGACUUAAACCAAUCUCACACAUAUACACAAACACCUGCACACGUACAUGUGCAUGCAUACCCGUGCACAUUUUUCUUUUUCUGGUCAAGGAAAUAAAUGGUAGAAUGUUUUGGGGAUUCAACCUGAGAUUCAUCAGAGUCCUGUGCAAUGUGACAUCCUCCAUUUCUAUGCUUCUAAAACGAUGCAUGUUUGCAGAGGCCCUCUGGGGACAGUGAGCCAUCCUGACCUCGUGACCCUCCGGGUUGUGCAGCGGAUGAGGCGGACUCUCUCCCUGCAAUUUUGCUCCAGUCAACGGGUUAAUCCUCCUGGAGCUGAAGUCUGACACGACGUGAACUCCAACCUCCCCUCACAGCUGUUUUAACAUUUCAUGUGCCUGACAAGAAGCAUGCACAUCUGACCUAAACCUCACCUGCUGUAAUGUGACUCCACUUCAUCGAUUCACUGUCGGAGGGCCACCAAACAUUUCUGGAGCCUCCCCGCCAUGGGCUUCCAUUGCUCCAGGCUCUGCAGAGCCUGGAAGGCAAGAGCUCCCAGUCUAGCCCCAAAGACAACACUCCAUGUCAUGUCAGGCCACCAGUGCAACAAAGACAAUAAGGGAACAGCACAGGUUGGCCUCAGAGGGCCUGGUUCAGCUCCCAAAGGAGCUGGUUAUGACUUGAAGCUCUGAGUGGUAAUGGAGAAAGGUUGGCCUCUUCCUCCUGAGAAUUCUUCCCCCUCAACUUCUCUCCGACUCCUAAUUAAAUAUUCACAGUUAAAUUUCUUUUUAUAUUCAACUUUUAGCCCUUUUAUCAGCUCUAUUGAUAAAGUUGGUUUUUUUCUAUCUCUCCUUGCUAUGAAUGUUUGUUGCUCCCCAAAAUUCAUAUGUUGAAACACUGACCCCCAAGGAAAUGGUGUUAGGAGAUGGGACCCUCAGGAGAUGAUCAGGUCAUGGGUGCAAAGUCCUUAUGAAUGGGAUCAAUUCCCUUAUAAAAGAGACCUCCUGCCAUGUGAGUUAUGGUGAAAAGACAAACCCAUGAGCCAGGAAGUAGGGUCCUCAUCAGGGCCUUAACCUUGGAUUUGUCAGCCUCCAAAGCAGGAAGAGGGCUGGGGAUACAGCUCAGUUGGUGGAGUGAUUGCCUUGCAUGCACAAGGCCCUGGGUUCAAUCCCCAGCACCACCAAAAAAAAAAAAGAAAAAGAAAGACAAAGUUAAUAGAGAGAUAAGCUCUAUUGUCCACAUGUCUAAAAGUGUGGAGACUCAAAACAGGGAGAAAUAAAUUUCUAUUGUUCAUAUGCUAUCCCGCUUAUGAUAUCUUGUGAUAGCAACCCAAAGACACUAACACGCUCCCUCUACAACGCAAGCAGGAACUAUGUCUAUUUUGUUCUCUCUUCAGCGUCCAAUACAGCUGUCUGGCAAUCAGCGUUUGUUCAGUAAACGUGUGAAGCCCAUUUUUCAUGGGCUUUGUUAGCCUGAGAUGGAGGAGAGGGCUCAUGUUUAAAAUGAAUUCCUAUUAGAAACCAUGAGAGCAACUCCCAAAUUCUCCUCUCCAUUGUAGAAGGCCUUCCAUCCCCACCAGGUCUCUCCUGCUAACACAGGAGAGCCCCUGGAGAUGUCUGUACUGUGCUCAGGAACAAGGUGCUAUAGGUGUGGCCGCCACCCUGGAGACCUCCACAGGCAGGAGAGGUUCUGCAUUCUCUGAAGCCCUCCACACAUCACAGGCAGGGCUGUCCGCCACGAGGAGGGGGAAAGAACACCUCUCCCUCCCUGGUGUAACCCCUUUCUACAAGGUACCAAAGCAACCUGGUGAGGAUUUCUUCUUCCAACACCUACCUUUCUUCCCUUUGAUCUGAUGUGAGUCAGAGAGACGAUGUGAUGUGAGUCACAAAGAGUUCAUCUGAGGACAAGGGGCAAGAUUCAGAAUCUCUUCUCCCCACUCAUCACUAAGACACUGGAAUCGGGCUGAACUUAUUAGCCUAACUCUUCCUUAGGGUGAGGGAUUCCCAGGAGGCUGUUCACUGUCUGCAAAAGAAACUGCUCUGGUAGCCCACCAGGUGUGUCUAGAUCCCAGCCACUGCCACACUCCACCUUGAGCUUGAGAGCCACGACUGAAUUCCUUCUUGAAAAUGGAAUCUUGAGGUGAUAUAGACACACGGGAUGUGCCUGAAUAAACCUGUGAGUUCCUGUGUGGCCAGGAAGUGUCCAUGAAUCCAGACACAGCUGGUGGCUGAACCCUGUGGGAAGACAACUCUACUUCUUUCUGAACCCGUGGACAUUCUGUCAGUUGAGCUAUCACAAAGGCAGCUUGGAGAGACAGUGUGGACCUCACGGAAGACACCAUCACUCCCGUCAAUGUGACUGCAGUGGACAGGAUCACUGUCAUUACUCCAGUCACUCAGCAGUGCCCUGAUGGCAGGCCAGCCAAUUUGCAUAGGAUGCUCACGACCAGACUCUGAUUAUCUGAUGUGGGUACAUGACGUCUUAUAGAAACCCAUUUUCCACAUGAGAAAAAUUUUAUUUUUGGCUUAUUCAAUCAUCAGCAAACAGUUAUUGAAUGCCUACUGUGCCAGAGAUUCAUCUAUUCAAAGCCACAAACAAAAGCCAUAAGGUCACUAUUCUUACAUACUUAUCAUAAAUAAAAGAAUGUCAGAAGUAAAUCAAA